UACGAAGGGGGCUAGCGUUGCUCGGAAUCACUGGGCGUAAAGGGUGCGUAGGCGGGUCUUUAAGUCAGGGGUGAAAUCCUGGAGCUCAACUCCAGAACUGCCUUUGAUACUGAAGAUCUUGAGUUCGGGAGAGGUGAGUGGAACUGCGAGUGUAGAGGUGAAAUUCGUGGAUAUUCGCAAGAACACCAGUGGCGAAGGCGGCUCACUGGUCCGGUUCUGACGCUGAGGCGCGAAAGCGUGGGGAGCAAACAGG
rnacentral:rRNA from 1 species